rnacentral:lncRNA from 1 species
CCCAUACUGGAAGCAUAUUGUUGCUGGAGAUAUAGAGCGUCCUAUGGAAGUUUUUGCCCAGAAGAAUGAUCUGGCCUGUAAAGCACAAUUCAAGGAAAUGAAAGGAAGAAAUCCAAGUCCUCUGGAAAGGACUGUAUAAAAGAAGAAGAAAGUAUCCUGAGAGCUCUUAAGAGUUCCUCAGUGCUUUUCAUUAAAUUGUGGGCAGAACCCUGAAGGUUGUGACAAAAAGCACAGAGAGCUUUGCAUCCUCAAGUCUUUUGGAAUGUUGUUCUGUAGAAUACUGAUUGGGAACGAGAUCAGCCAGUUUGUCUUAAGGAUUCAGAAUGUUUGCAUCCUGCUAACCAGCCGGAGUACUGGAUUCUAUGACUGUUUAACAUGGACUUAUUAGAGAAGCAAUCUUCAGAAAUGCCCUCAGGAAGCAACAAUUUGGGAACUGAUAUUGUCCAGGUGAGACAGACUUUAUUAGCCUCUGCUGCAAGGUAGACACAUGCUUCUAAA